GCACGUUCGCCGGAUUGGAUGGGUUGGCCUAUCUGCCCAUCGCACUCGUAUAACUAAGCCCCCGUAAUGCUGUUCUCACGAUCUGGGAGACUCUAGGACUCGCUUUAAUGACAUCGGACGAUAGCUAAGUUUACGAUUACACGACCGGCGUCGUAUCGGCCAUAAAAAGCAUUCAAAAUCGAACACGUUCUACAUAUUGAAUUAUAACAAUGUCACAAUAGGAACAAUCCGGCCGUCAUGUGGGAUGACUCGGCAGUCCGGGUUCUUAACAGUUUUUGUUCGGAUUUCAGUCCCAGUUUGAGGUGGAUCAUGCAUACGCUUAAAGGUGAGGCGCACGACGACCAGACAUUCUUGGAUUGGAUCGAACCUGAUUUGUUUAUGGGCUUGCCCAGCUGCAUAGCAUAUUUCCCUAUGAACCACAAAACCUCCUAACGGAGAACGUCGACGACCCCCUGCCAAGACUGAAAGUUAUAGUACACCUACUAUUACCUAUCCGCCGAACCGAAGGUCACAAUCAUUCGUAAUUCUUGGGGUAUCAAUCAUUUGCGGUUGCGGAAUGUGCUGAAAUGGGCAAUCCGCACAUUUUUCAAUAUACAUAUAUAGUUAAUGACUUAAUAAUUUACCGAACAAUAUAUUAGACUGAUUUAUAGUGGCCGCUGCUGUGCUAUCUGUGUCCCGCUUCACCUCUAUUUGAGUACUUAACUUUACGAUACUCCGCU